rnacentral:rRNA from 1 species
AAAACAUUUUUCAGAGUACUACGAACAAAGUUUAAAACUCAAAGAGCUUGGCGGUGCUUUAGACUUCUCAGGGGAACCUGUCUCGUAAUCGACAGUCCACGAACCAACCUCACCUUUACCAGUAUGUAUACCGUCGUCGUCAGGUAACUUUUAAAAACAAAGAAGUUAGCAAAUUUUCACGUCAGAUCAAGGUGCAGCCUAUGAAAAGGAGUAGAUGGGUUACAAUUAAAACUUAUAACUACGAAUUUAAUCUCUUGAAGGCGGACUUGAAAGUAAAGCUUAGCAGCUAAAUGCCUUGAAUUAAGCUCUGAAGCG